GGGGCUGAAUUGAUUCGACAGGGGUUCUUUCAAAAUCACGGCAAGUCCGGAAAGCUUGUGAAUCCGGUAAACUCUCAAGCAAAUCAUAAAUGCCAAAAAUUUGGUAAGCAGAAUUGCGAGUGCUUUUGCAUUCCAACCUGCAUUAGCUGUCGCUUAAUUUAAGUCACAGCUCAUCUGACCCGUAAAGUCUGUGCGCGGAAUUCAGGUGUUAUACAUUCGGACUUACUGUAAAUAGUAGCCUUGAAACUUACAGGACAAUUAAAGGCAAAACUCGAUCCUUCAAGGAUCUAAACUUGUAGAUGUGGCUUUGAAAAAUUUCUGGACGGGAGUUCACUGCUCCCCAGCUCCACCA
rnacentral:tmRNA from 1 species